UAUCGUGCAAGGUUAAGGUGGAAAGACCGGAGCCGCAGCGAAAGCGAGUGUGAAUAGCGCGAAUAGUACGAUGCUGUAGACCCGAAACCAGGUGACCUACCCAUGGUCAGGAUGAAGGUGAGGUAAAACUUACUGGAGGUCCGAACCGGUGCAUGUUAAAAAAUGCUCGGAUGAACUGUGGGUAGCGGUGAAAUUCCAAACGAACUUGGAGAUAGCUGGUUCUCUCCGAAAUAGCUUUAGGGCUAGCGUCGAUGUUAAGUCUCUUGGAGGUAGAGCACUGUUUGGGUGAGGGGUCCAUCCCGGAUUACCAAUCUCAGAUAAACUCCGAAUGCCAAUGAAUUAUGGUCGGCAGUCAGACUGCGAGUGCUAAGAUCCGUAGUCGAAAGGGAAACAGCCCAGACCACCAGCUAAGGUCCCAAAAUAUAUGUUAAGUGGAAAAGGAUGUGGGGUUGCACAGACAACUAGGAUGUUAGCUUGGAAGCAGCUAUUCAUUCAAAGAGUGCGUAAUAGCUCACUAGUCGAGUGACCCUGCGCCGAAAAUGUACCGGGGCUAAAACAUAUUACCGAAGCUGUGGAUACCUUUAUAGGUAUGGUAGGAGAGCGUUCUAUGUGCGAAGAAGGUGUACCGUGAGGAGUGCUGGAGCGCAUAGAAGUGAGAAUGCCGGUAUGAGUAGCGAAAGACAGGUGAGAAUCCUGUCCACCGUAAGACUAAGGUUUCCAGGGGAAGGCUCGUCCGCCCUGGGUUAGUCGGGACCUAAGGAGAGACCGAAAGGUGUAUCCGAUGGACAACAGGUUGAUAUUCCUGUACUAGAGUAUAUAGUGAUGGAGGGACGCAGUAGGCUAACUAAACCAGACGAUUGGAAGUGUCUGGCCAAGCAGUGAGGUGUGAUAUGAGUCAAAUGCUUAUAUCUAUAACAUUGAGCUGUGAUGGGGAGCGAAGUUUAGUAGCGAAGUUAGUGACGUCACACUGCCAAGAAAAGCUUCUAGCGUUAAUCAUACUCUACCCGUACCGCAAACCGACACAGGUAGUCGAGGCGAGUAGCCUCAGGUGAGCGAGAGAACUCUCGUUAAGGAACUCGGCAAAAUGACCCCGUAACUUCGGGAGAAGGGGUGCUGACUUUAAGUCAGCCGCAGUGAAUAGGCCCAAGCAACUGUUUAUCAAAAACACAGCUCUCUGCUAAAUCGUAAGAUGAUGUAUAGGGGGUGACGCCUGCCCGGUGCUGGAAGGUUAAGAGGAGAGCUUAGCGCAAGCGAAGGUUUGAAUUGAAGCCCCAGUAAACGGCGGCCGUAACUAUAACGGUCCUAAGGUAGCGAAAUUCCUUGUCAGGUAAGUUCUG
rnacentral:rRNA from 1 species